rnacentral:snRNA from 1 species
AGAGAAUUGGUUGAACCCGGGGGUCGGAGGUUGCAGUGAGCUGAGAUUGCGCCACUUCACUCCAGCCUGGGCAACAAAA